AGCCCUGGGGCCAUGGCUCAGUGGCAGAGCAACUGCUAUGCAUGCAGAAGGUCCCAGGUUCAUUUCCAGGAAGGGCUG